rnacentral:rRNA from 1 species
ACGGAAGGCAGCAGUGAGGAAUAUUGGUCAAUGGGCGGAAGCCUGAACCAGCCAAGUCGCGUGAAGGAUGAAGGUAUUAUGUAUUGUAAACUUCUUUAGACGUAGAGAAAUAAGCGGGUCGUGACCCGUGAUGCUAGUAUACGUAGAAUAAGGAUCGGCUAACUCCGUGCCAGCAGCCGCGGUAAUACGGAGGAUACGAGCGUUAUCCGGAUUUAUUGGGUUUAAAGGGUGCGUAGGCGGAUGAGUAAGUCAGUGGUGAAAUAUCCUAGCUCAACUAGGAGGCUGCCAUUGAUACUGCUUAUCUAGAGUGCGAACGGCGCCGGCGGAAUGUGUCAUGUAGCGGUGAAAUGCUUAGAGAUAACACAGAACACCGAUCGCGAAGGCAGCUGGCGAGCAUGACACUGACGCUGAGGCACGAAGGUGCGGGGAUCAAACAGGAUUAGAUACCCUGGUA